UAUUAGUAGAGUAAUAUAUUGAUUCCUGAUGAAAUAAAGAGAAGUAGGCUAGGGAGAACAAAGGAAUUAAGAGGAAAAAUGUGUUGGAAAGAACUGAUCUUGAAGUCAGAUGAGGGAGAUUCCAGUUCUGGCUUUGCCCUAACUGCUGUGCGUCUUCAGAGUAGUCACUUCACUCCUCUGAGUCUCAGUUUCCUCAGCUAUUAAGUGAAAAUAAAACUAUAUGCCUUAUAAGAUGACAGGCAAAAUGUAUAAAAAUCAUUAAAAAAAAUUAAACUAUGUAUGUUUGUUCAUUUUAAUUAUGUAACAAAGAUAUAAAGAAUUUGUUUAGAAUUAGCUUUUAAAAAAAAUUUCUCACCAAAUGAAGUAGGAAUUAUAAAGAAAGGGGUCUUCUGGUUCUGAGGGCUGAUAUAAGCUUCAUCUGCUCUUAUCUGAUCCAGCCUUUAGUGGGCAGCAAGUGGAGGGAAGGUCAGUUCAAGCAGCAACCCUUGGAGCUUCGAUGGGGGUCACAGCCCGGAUGCCCCGCACUGGUUCCUACGCUAAUCGUAGUAAAGACGCAGCAUCCUGGCAGCAUGCAGGGAACAGACAAGGAAGGUUAGAGGACAGAGAAGAACAUUGUCUGGCACAGCAGCUCCUUUUGAACACAGCAGAUGAUCACUGUGGGAAAGCUGAAGGGAGAGGAGAUGAGUUAUUCUAAAAGGAAAAAACCCACAUGUGAAAAGAGUUAUGAAAUAAGGACCAACCUCACCAAUGCUACCUGUGGUGGUUCUGGGACUUGCAUUUGACUGAUGAAAUAUGGCAGAAGAGACACUGUGUGACUUCUAAAGCUGAUGAGUAAGACAUUUCUCAUCUUCUUCCUGGGGCUCUUGAAAUGCUCACUCUUUGGACACUUAGAACCCAGCUGCCACAUGGUGAGAGGCCCCAGCCACAGGGAG
ensembl:lncRNA